ACAGUGGGAAAGCCCACUGUUGCUUUGAAAAGAAUCAGGUUCCUCUGUGUUAAUCCUUUCAUAUGGGACCCUUUUUUCUACAAUUUUUUUCUAAAAUAUGACCCUUUUCCCCCUCACUAUUAUAAUUCACACACAAUUUCUCUGGAGGGUAUGAUAUAGUCUAAUUUUCUUCAUUAUUCAAUUUGGAUCCCGUUAAGUGAGACAGGCAUUCAUGACAAGAAAGAACAUUUAAAUUUUGGCUAAUAAGUUCAUUAGUAUUCAGAAAGCUUUGUGCCCCUCAUAUUUAAUAAAUCUUUCCAUUACAGAGUAAGAAAUGCUGCAAAAUAGUCAAACAAAUUAGCAGUGGGGGCACCAAGAGAGCACAUCCAUCCCUGAUUCAGAGAUGUCUUCGUUUAUCAGUUUUCUGUCAAUCAGUAAAACAAGAAAAAUGAAACAUGCAAUUAUAUACAAGGAGACAGGACUUCUAAUUCUUUCACCCGAGCUGAAGCAAAAGAGUUUUAAUUGCUCUGAAAAAUGAGAUUUUUGUUUUCUCUCAAGAGGGACGGAAAAACAAAUAUAAAUCGCCUUAAAGUCGAUGACUGGAGCUGCAGGACUUGACUAUCCAAAGCAGAGGUGGGAAGGCCAGUCCAUCAUCUGUCCUCUGUCUUCACAAUGGCCAAUGUCCAGAUAUUUGGAAAUACGAGAUGGUUGACAACGUUUCCUCUUCUACUGCAGCUCCUUCAGCACACAAUCAGCAGGUCAUUAGCGUAUCGUUCAAAUCGCCCCGAACUCAGGAUGGAACCCCAGGGACCUGAAAGCAGAAUAGACUGAAGAGAAGAUGUGGUGUUGCUGACAGUUACCUCUGAUGGCAGUUAAAAAGGCUUCUUAAAGAAACAAGGAUAUCCUUCUAGAACAAUGGUCACACAAAAAAGCAAAAUGAGGACAGUCAAGGACCAUGCCUACCUCAAUCUCCAUCAAGAACUCAGAGACCUGAGAUCUUAUGAAAUGGGUCCAGGCCAACAGGGUAAGCCAGCUUCUUAUGUGAUAUAAUUUAGAGAGAAUUAAAAUUCCAAGAUAUACAUCCUCUUUCCUUUAGUCAUUCAGGCAACCAAUAUUUACUGAGCACCUGCUGGGUAGGGGUUUCUGGAAGACAGAGAUACAAUGUU